CUGGCAUACACCUCAUCAUCAGCGUAUGGGCCCCGGUGCAGAUGCACCGGCGGCAGUUCCGCUGAUCCACGUGGGGCCCGGGUGGCCGGGCCCCCCAGGGCCGCAGGGCCCGUGACAAUUGUCACAGUUGUCUUGCCCUGAUGGCGGCCCUGAGUGCAGAUAAAUAGUGAACCUUAACCCUUUCACCACCACAACUAUGUCACGCACACUCUUGAAGUAGGGUGCAUUCGUGACACCCACGACACCAUGGAGGCACAAUUGGAGGCAUACUAACUUAAACUCAUGUAACUAGAAGACCGG